rnacentral:rRNA from 1 species
AUACGUAGGUGGCAAGCGUUGUCCGGAAUUAUUGGGCGUAAAGCGCGCGCAGGCGGUCCUUUAAGUCUGAUGUGAAAGCCCACGGCUCAACCGUGGAGGGUCAUCGGAAACUGGGGGACUUGAGUGCAGAAGAGGAAAGUGGAAUUCCAAGUGUAGCGGUGGAAUGCGUAGAGAUUUGGAGGAACACCAGUGGCGAAGGCGACUUUCUGGUCUGUAACUGACGCUGAGGCGCGAAAGCGUGGGGAGCAAACAGGAUUAGAUACCCUGGUAGUCCACGCCGUAAACGAUGAGUGCUAAGUGUUAGGGGGUUUCCGCCCCUUAGUGCUGCAGCUAACGCAUUAAGCACUCCGCCUGGGGAGUACGGUCGCAAGACUGAAACUCAAAGGAAUUGACGGGG